rnacentral:rRNA from 1 species
CCUACGGGAGGCCGCAGUCGAGAAUCAUUCACAAUGGGGGAAACCCUGAUGGUGCGACGCCGCGUGGGGGAAUGAAGGUCUUCGGAUUGUAAACCCCUGUCAUGUGGGAGCAAAUUAAAAAGAUAGUACCACACGAGGAAGAGACGGCUAACUCUGUGCCAGCAGCCGCGGUAAUACAGAGGUCUCAAGCGUUGUUCGGAAUCACUGGGCGUAAAGCGUGCGUAGGCUGUUUCGUAAGUCGUGUGUGAAAGGCGCGGGCUCAACCCGCGGACGGCACAUGAUACUGCGAGACUAGAGUAAUGGAGGGGGAACCGGAAUUCUCGGUGUAGCAGUGAAAUGCGUAGAUAUCGAGAGGAACACUCGUGGCGAAGGCGGGUUCCUGGACAUUAACUGACGCUGAGGCACGAAGGCCAGGGGAGCGAAAGGGAUUAGAUACCCUUGUAGUC